AUGCACAGCAUGAUGAACAGCUCGAUGAAGGUCACCGAUGUCAACAUGGAAACAGAGGUGCCUGAGCUUCUUCUUGUACCAAAUCACGUCGAUUCCAACGGACGCCAUUUGCCAAACCACAGCCCGAUGAAGAUCACCGAUGUGGAUAUGAAAAUAGAGGCGCUAACAAAUUACAUCAACCUCAGACGAGUAGGAGGAGAGGGGGGCAGUAUGAAUGUGGGGAACAAGAAGACCAAGAAGAAGAUUUUCCGUGUGCCCCAGGACGAGCUGGAUGAGAUUCUUUCGUACCAAGCGGCGCCGGCGCCCGCUUGGCAGAGUGCGGCCAAACGCUAUCCUUGGGUCGUCGCCGAGAUGGAGAAGAUCAAGGUAGGCUUUCUCGCCGGGCAGGAGAAGAUGAGGCGGCAGUACGAGGCCCUGGGCUAUGCCACGUUUGAAGCGGAGGUCACCGAUGAUGAGCAGGAGGAAGACGCGGCAGUGACGACUCCUUAUCAGGACAAGGAUGAAACAUUGACGACAUCUUUUCAUGAGCGGAAUGAUGAUGCAGCAGUGACAACUCCUUGCAAGGAGAACUUGGAGAAGGAUGAAACAUCAGCGGCAUCUUUUCAUGAGAAGAAUGACGAUGCACAAGCAGCAGCAGUGACGACUCCUUACAAGGAGAAGGAUGAAACAUCAGCGGCAUCUUUUCAUGAGGAGAAUGACGGUGCAGCAGCGACAACUUCUCCUUGGAUCACUCCACGAGGAAGAGGCCGAAGAAGAUUUCGCCCGGGAGUCGUCAAGCAAGCAUGCGGUGUUAAAAAGAUAACUUAG
rnacentral:rRNA from 1 species